rnacentral:lncRNA from 1 species
UUCCGGAAAAAGGCAGAAACAUAGAGGGCUACUUGAAAUUAGGCCCUUCACUUUUCAUUUUUCUUUUCUGGAGGAUGUGCCACCACAAGCACACACAUACUCGCACUCACAGUGGGACAUUUGUUUCUGAAAACAUUAGGUUACCAUGGUGUCACAUUUGCAAUCUCCACUAAGCCUGAGGACACAGUUCCUGUGUGACCUACUGAAUUGAGUUUAAUAUUUUAACUAAAAACUUCAAGAUCUAUUUUUGCAUUUAAGCAGGCCACAAGAAAUUCAGGGUGGCAAUCUGAGUAAUUAAUAUGAGUGAACUUCAUUACCAAGAAAAUCAUAGUAUCCAACAAGUAUACAAGAUAACUUGGCAUCGCACCUAAUUUUAAAGUUCUGUUAGACAGAUUUCACAGUCUUUCUCAGUAAGAAUUGCCCUU